rnacentral:rRNA from 1 species
UACGUGGGUGGCGAGCGUUGUCCGGAUUUACUGGGCGUAAAGGGAGCGUAGGCGGACUUUUAAGUGAGAUGUGAAAUACUCGGGCUCAACUUGAGUGCUGCAUUUCAAACUGGAAGUCUAGAGUGCAGGAGAGGAGAAUGGAAUUCCUAGUGUAGCGGUGAAAUGCGUAGAGAUUAGGAAGAACACCAGUGGCGAAGGCGAUUCUCUGGACUGUAACUGACGCUGAGGCUCGAAAGCGUGGGGAGCAAACAGG